rnacentral:rRNA from 1 species
UGGGGAAUAUUGCACAAUGGAGGGAACUCUGAUGCAGCGACGCCGCGUGAACGAAGAAGGCUUUCGAGUCGUAAAGUUCUUUUAUAUGGGAAGAUAAUGACGGUACCAUAAGAAAAAGCCCCGGCUAACUACGUGCCAGCAGCCGCGGUAAUACGUAGGGGGCUAGCGUUGUCCGGAAUCACUGGGCGUAAAGGGUUCGCAGGCGGAAAUGCAAGUCAGGUGUAAAAGGCAGUAGCUUAACUACUGUAAGCAUUUGAAACUGCAUAUCUUGAGAAGAGUAGAGGUAAGUGGAAUUUUUAGUGUAGCGGUGAAAUGCGUAGAUAUUAAAAAGAAUACCGGUGGCGAAGGCGAGUUACUGGGCUCAUUCUGACGCUGAGGAACGAAAGCGUGGGUAGCAAACAGG